UACGGAGGGAGCUAGCGUUGUUCGGAAUUACUGGGCGUAAAGCGCGUGUAGGCGGUUGCCAAAGUCGGGUGUGAAAGCCUUGAGCUCAACUCAAGAAUUGCACUCGAUACUUGGUGACUAGAGGACCGGAGAGGAUAGUGGAAUUCCCAGUGUAGUGGUGAAAUACGUAGAGAUUGGGAAGAACACCAGUGGCGAAGGCGGCUAUCUGGACGGUUUCUGACACUAAGACUCGAAAGCGUGGGGAGCAAACAGG
rnacentral:rRNA from 1 species